rnacentral:rRNA from 1 species
AUUGAACGCUGGCGGCAGGCUUAACACAUGCAAGUCGAGCGGGGGAAGGUAGCUUGCUACUGGACCUAGCGGCGGACGGGUGAGUAAUGCUUAGGAAUCUGCCUAUUAGUGGGGGACAACAUCUCGAAAGGGAUGCUAAUACCGCAUACGUCCUACGGGAGAAAGCAGGGGAUCUUCGGACCUUGCGCUAAUAGAUGAGCCGAAGUCGGAUUAGCUGGUUGGUGGGGUAAAGGCCUACCAAGGCGACGAUCUGUAGCGGGUCUGAGAGGAUGAUCCGCCACACUGGGACUGAGACACGGCCCAGACUCCUACGGGAGGCAGCAGUGGGGAAUAUUGGACAAUGGGGGGAACCCUGAUCCAGCCAUGCCGCGUGUGUGAAGAAGGCCUUAUGGUUGUAAAGCACUUUAAGCGAGGAGGAGGCUACUCUAGUUAAUACCUAGGGAUAGUGGACGUUACUCGCAGAAUAAGCACCGGCUAACUCUGUGCCAGCCGCCGCCGUAA